rnacentral:rRNA from 1 species
CUAAGGGCACAUGGGGAAUGCCUUGGCGCUAGAAGCCGAACAAGGGCGUAGUGAGACUGCGAUAAGCCACGGUCAGCCGUCUGGCAGGCUAAGCCGUGGAUUCCCGAGUGGGGAAACCCGAGGCCGCGCGUUCGCGCGCGGUUUCAUCUCGUAAGAGAGGGUAAGCGGGGGAACUGAAACAUCUAAGUACCCCGAGGAAAGGAAAUCAACCGAGACUCCCUUAGUAGCGGCGAGCGAAAAGGGAACUAGCCCAAACCGGGUGAGACUAAACGGCUCAGGAGCUUACGUCUCACGGGUGUUGUAGGGCUCGAUUUGGAGGCUACCUGAGGCUUCCGAGGAGUUACAAAGCGCAACGAUAGCUGAGCAGCACUGGAAAGUCUGGUCGAAGAGGGUGAUAGCCCCGUAAGCGAAAUCGUUGAGCCUCCUUUAUCGAGUACCUGAGUACGGCGGGACACGUGAAAUCCUGUUGGAACCUGGGGGGACCACCCUCCAAGGCUAAGUACUUCUAGCGACCGAUAGCGAACUAGUACCGUGAGGGAAAGGUGAAAAGCACCCCAAGCAGGGGAGUGAAAGAGAACUGAAACCGUGUGCCUACAAUCCGUUGGAGUCCACCUGCGGGUGGAUGACAGCGUGCCUAUUGAAGAAUGAGCCAGCGAGUUACUUUGUGUGGCGAGGUUAAGGCGUUCAGCGCCGUAGCCGAAGCGAAAGCGAGUCUGAACAGGGCGUUCAGUCGCGCGGAGUAGACCCGAAACCGUGUGAGCUACCCAUGGCCAGGCUGAAGCGAAAGUAACAUUUCGUGAAGGGCCGAACCCGUUUACGUUGCAAAGUGAUGGGAUGAGCUGUGGGUAGGGGUAAAAUGCCAAACGAACACGGAGAUAGCUGGUUCUCCCCGAAAUGCAUUUAGGUGCAGCGUCGGGAAUUACUUCGCGGAGGUAGAGCACUGAUUGGGCUAGGGGGGGAAGACCUUACCAAACCCUGUCAAACUUCGAAUACCGCGAAGGGUACCCCGGCAGUGAGACAGUGAAGGAUAAGCUCCAUUGUCGAGAGGGAAACAGCCCAGAUCGCAAGCUAAGGCCCCAAAGUGUGUGUUAAGUGUUAAACGAGGUGGGGGCGCCCAGACAGCCAGGAGGUUGGCUUAGAAGCAGCCACCCUUUAAAGAGUUCGUAACAGAUCACUGGUCGAGGGCUCCCGCACGGAAAAUAAACGGGGCUCAAACACACCGCCGAUGCUGCGAGAGGCGCGUUCGCGCGCCUCGGUAGGGGAGCGUUCCCAGCCGCGUUGAAGCGUGACCGUGAGGGCACGUGGAGUGCUGGGAAGUGAGAAUGCUGGCAUGAGUAGCGACAAUGCCGGUGAGAAUCCGGCACGCCGAAAGUCCAAGGUUUCCUACGCAACGUUGAUCGACGUAGGGUAAGGCGGCCCUAAGGUAAAGCCAAAUGGCCAAGCCGAUGGAUAGCUGGUUGAAAUUCCAGCCCCGCCCCAAUACCGAUUGAGACGCAGGAGGGACGCGGAUUGGUAAGCGAUGCAUACCACUGGAUAUGGUGUGUCGCCACCUGUAGGCCAGCGCGGCGAGUUAAAACGCGCCGCGCGUUAUGAGCAGAGGGGUGGCUGGACCUUAAGGUACGCCUCGAGGAACAUCGCUGAUCCUAUACCGCCAAGAAAAUCUCCGACGUCGAGGUGUUGUGGCGACCGUACCGCAAACCGACACUGGUGGACAGGGGUAAAUGCCCCAAGGCGUUCGAGACAACCAUCGUUAAGGAACUCGGCAAAUUAACCCCGUAACUUCGGGAUAAGGGGUGCCGAUGAUGUAUACGCGUUUACCGCGAAAAGCGUUGUCGGCCGCAGAGAACCGGCUCAAGCGACUGUUUACCAAAAACACAGGUCUGUGCCAAAGCGAAAGCUGAUGUAUACAGGCUGACGCCUGCCCAGUGCUGGUAGGUUAAGGAAGGGUGUGAGAGCUCCCGACCGAAGCCCCGGUAAACGGCGGCCGUAACUAUAACGGUCCUAAGGUAGCGAAGUCCCUUGUCGGGUAAGUUCCGACCCGCACGAAUGGCGUAACGACUUGAGCACUGUCUCAACGAUGGACUCGGUGAAAUUGCAGGACCCGUAAAGAUGCGGGUUACGCGCGGCAGGACAAAUAGACCCCGUGGAGCUUUACUGCAGCUUGACAUUGGUUUGAGUUCAGGGAUGUGUAGUAAUAGGCGGGAGACUUCGAAGCUCAGGCGCCAGCCUGGGUGGAGUCGACCAUGAAAGACCGCCCUUUUCUGCGUUUGAAUCUAACCGUUUCUGGAACAGUGUCUGGUAGGCAGUUUGACUGGGGCGGUCGCCUCCCAAAAGGUAACGGAGGCGCACAAAGGUCACCUCAGGCUGGAUGGAAAUCAGCCUUAGAGUGUAUUGGCAUAAGGUGGCUUGACUGCGAGACAUACAGGUCGAGCAGGGACGAAAGUCGGUCAAAGUGAUCCUACGGUACCGUGUGGAAGGGCCGUAGCUUAACGGAUAAAAGCUACCCCGGGGAUAACAGGCUAAUCUCCCCCAAGAGAUCGUAUCGACGGGGAGCUUUGGCACCUCGAUGUCGGCUCGUCGCAUCCUGGGGCUGAAGAAGGUCCCAAGGGUCGGGCUGUCCGCCCGUUAAAGCGGCACGCGAGCUGGGUUCAGAGCGUCGUGAGACAGCUCGGUCUCUAUCCGCCGUGCGCGCAGGACAUUUGAAGGGAGCUGAUCCUAGUACGAGAGGACCGGAUUGGACGAACCUCUGGUGUGCCGGUUGUGGCGCCAGCCGCAUCGCCGGGUAGCUACGUUCGGAAGGGAUAAGCGCUGAAAGCAUCUAAGCACGAAGCCCACCCUAAGAUGAGAUGUCCCAUCCUUUUUGGAGUAAGACCACCGGGAGACUACCGGGUAGAUAGGCCGUAGGUGUAAGCGCAGAAAUGCACUCAGCUAAACGGUACUAAUCGGUCGAGGGCUUGACCA